rnacentral:rRNA from 1 species
AUUGAACGCUGGCGGCAUGCCUUACACAUGCAAGUCGAACGGCAGCACGGGUGCUUGCACCUGGUGGCGAGUGGCGAACGGGUGAGUAAUACAUCGGAACAUGUCCUGUAGUGGGGGAUAGCCCGGCGAAAGCCGGAUUAAUACCGCAUACGAUCUACGGAUGAAAGCGGGGGACCUUCGGGCCUCGCGCGAUAGGGUUGGCCGAUGGCUGAUUAGCUAGUUGGUGGGGUAAAGGCCUACCAAGGCGACGAGCAGUAGCUGGUCUGAGAGGACGACCAGCCACACUGGGACUGAGCCACGGCCCAGACUCCUACGGGAGGCAGCAGUCGGGAAUUUUGGACAAUGGGCGAAAGCCUGAUCCAGCAAUGCCGCGUGUGUGAAGAAGGCCUUCGGGUUGUAAAGCACUUUUGUCCGGAAAGAAAUCCUUGGCUCUAAUACAGUCGGGGGAUGACGGUACCGGAAGAAUAAGCACCGGCUAACUACGUG